UGCACCCCACAUGAGCCCUGUUGGGAGGGCUGCCAGAUGCAGGGAGACGCAGAGGCGCGGGUACACAUUGCUCCACCAGCCAGACCCAGAGCUUCCUAGUGGGGACCAGUCUGGAGCUUGAAAUCCCAGCCAUCACUCAAGGGGUUUCACUUGUGCCAACACCUUUCUUUUGGAGGGGGUGUGUUGGGGGUGUCCAGUGACAGGGUUAAUCCCCACAGUCCAUGAGGCCAGUGAUGUCAUGGGCUCCUGGGGCCCAUGGCACUGAGACCAGGUCCAGCACGAAUUCACCUGCCCUUCCUUCAGUGCCUUCCAACACCACCCAGCCACCACGGCCAGGCUGGAAGGACAGCACACCCCAGCCACUCAGGAGUCACUUCGGACAGCCCACCUAGGGGCUUAAGUCCCAGUGGGACAUGCCCACCCAGGCUGCCUCAGCUGCCCACGGGGCCUCCAACCACAGCCACAGGCUCCACAGGAAAACCCAACACGAUGACUGCCCCUCGCAGGCCACAGUCAGCCCGGCCCCAGGAGAGAGACCCGUGGAGCCCUAUGUCUCAGCAGGCAAGACCACCCUGGCCUGCCAUGCCUCCAUCCUAUGCCUAUAAAAACCCAAGACCCUAGCAAGGCAGAGACAGAAGCCUCUGUGUGGGGAGAGGAACACACUGGUGGAAGAAGACAAGCUGCUGGACAUCCCGAGAAUGUUGCCUGACUCCAGGGGAAAACCAUCUCCCCUCUGGCUCCCCCAUCUGCUGAGAGCUACUUCCACUCAAUAAA
rnacentral:lncRNA from 1 species